GUUAACCUGGCUCAGUUGGUUAGAGCAUGGUGCUGAUAAUGCCAAGGUUGCAGGUUUGAUCCCCGUAUGGGACAACU
rnacentral:tRNA from 1 species